GUGGGGAAUAUUGGACAAUGGGGGGAACCCUGAUCCAGCCAUGCCGCGUGUGUGAAGAAGGCCUUUUGGUUGUAAAGCACUUUAAGCGAGGAGGAGGCUACCGAGAUUAAUACUCUUGGAUAGUGGACGUUACUCGCAGAAUAAGCACCGGCUAACUCUGUGCCAGCAGCCGCGGUAAUACAGAGGGUGCAAGCGUUAAUCGGAUUUACUGGGCGUAAAGCGCGCGUAGGUGGCCAAUUAAGUCAAAUGUGAAAUCCCCGAGCUUAACUUGGGAAUUGCAUUAGAUACGGGUUGGCUAGAGUAUGGGAGAGGAUGGUAGAAUUCCAGGUGUAGCGGUGAAAUGCGUAGAGAUCUGGAGGAAUACCGAUGGCGAAGGCAGCCAUCUGGCCUAAUACUGACACUGAGGUGCGAAAGCAUGGGGAGCAAACAGGAUUAGAUACCCGAGUAGUCC
rnacentral:rRNA from 1 species